rnacentral:rRNA from 1 species
AACGAACGCUGGCGGCAGGCUUAACACAUGCAAGUCGAACGCAUCCUUCGGGGUGAGUGGCAGACGGGUGAGUAACGCGUGGGAACGUGCCCUUCAGUUCGGGAUAACCCAGGGAAACUUGGGCUAAUACCGGAUACGUGCGAGAGCAGAAAGAUUUAUCGCUGAAGGAUCGGCCCGCGUCUGAUUAGCUAGUUGGUGGGGUAAUGGCCCACCAAGGCGACGACCAGUAGCGGGUCUGAGAGGAUGAUCAGCCACAUUGGGACUGAGACCCGGCCCAAACUCCUACGGGAGGCAGCAGUGGGGAAUAUUGGACAAUGGGCGCAAGCCGGAUCCGGCCAUGCCGCGUGAGUGAUGAAGGCCUUAGGGUUGUAAAGCUCUUUCGUCCGGGACGAUAAUGACGGUACCGGAAGAAGAAGCCCCGGCUAACUUCGUGCCAGCCGCCGCAGUAA